rnacentral:rRNA from 1 species
UACGUAGGGGGCUAGCGUUGUCCGGAAUCAUUGGGCGUAAAGAGCGUGUAGGCGGCCCGGUAAGUCCGCUGUGAAAGUCGGGGGCUCAACCCUCGAAUGCCGGUGGAUACUGUCGGGCUAGAGUGCGGAAGAGGCGAGUGGAAUUCCUGGUGUAGCAGUGAAAUGCGUAGAUAUCAGGAGGAACACCGAUGGCGAAGGCAGGUCUCUGGGCUGACACUGACGCUCAUGCACGAAAGCGUGGGGAGCAAACAGG